GGGGGGGGGGGGGGGUAGGGGCAACCGCCCCUCCCCAAAAUUUCUGAAAGCCUUUGAAUAACUUUGGAUAACUGUGUGAAGGAGCUGUAAAAACCCGUUUCCAUAUGAUACUCAUCUUAAAAUCAUCUUAAAGAGCAUCUUAAAAUGAGCAAAAUUGCAAAGUUUGGUUGCGAAUUGUUGUAAAAUGAAGCUAAAUGUUGCAUGAACUCUAAGGCAAAGAACUAAGAUUUAUAGAACUACGGUUUCCAGCUACAAAAGUUGAUCAUAUAUUGGCAACCUACAGUAAUUUGCCACUGUAAUAUCUCGAAUGCUGUUGACAAACAUUGGAGUUUUAGAUGAGCAUACAGACAAUGUUUUAUAUGUUGUUCAUCCUCAGCUGCAGACGAUGGAAAUUACGUAUCGGACUUAAAUCGAAUGAAGCCAUGUAAUCGGACAUACUAUCACCCGUCGUAUGGCUAGCUGUUAUACACUUGAGCAUAGGCGUAAAUGAAUUAGAAGGAAAAUAGACAUAGAUUCGUUGAGAUAUGGCAAUAGACAGCAACUUUAUUUAAUUUCAUGCCUAGAUAUAUGGGGUCAUCACUGAUCUCAAAGAUAGGACUGGAGCGAGCAUUGGUGUGACCACCGCAAAUCUACAGUGGUGUUUGACAAUAUAUCCCAGAGAGGAAUGGUCCAUUUGCAUUAUAGACUAAAUUUUGAUCUAGACAAAAAUUUCAUCACAGCUUGAAAGAGCAUCACA
rnacentral:lncRNA from 1 species